ACUAGCCUAGCAUACUAAAAUGUUUUUCUGUGAUCAUAAUAUGUGGAAGUGGCCGGUUAAUUACAGGCUUGGCUGCAAAAAGCAAUUAAUCAGAAAAGACAUAUAAAUCUGAAAGGCAUGAGAGCGUUGUUACGCCCAAAUUUCCGCCAACUGUUGCACAACCUUGUCAUAUGGAAGAUUAACAACUGCAAUUUCACGAUGAACAGGAACGCUUUCGGCCUGCAGCCAUUUUGAACGAAUCGCGACUGAUCCGUAUAUAAAUUUCUGCCGGUAACGUUAAUAUUCAGUUGCUCGAUUUAACACAUAUCAGUUUUCCAACGUCCCACAACCGGCAUCACCAUGAACUGCUAUUUCCUCGUGUCCGCCCUCGUCCUGGCUGUUUUCGUCCAGCCCAGCAUCCAAGGCCUGAUCGGCGGCAAUUCGCCCGGUGUGCCCAAGGAUAAGUGCGAGAUUAGCAGCAACAUUGGGGAGUGCACGGAUUUCGGAUGCAACGGCUUCUGCCUGGCUGAACAGGGAAUCCCCAGCGGUACCUGCCACAAUGCCAAGAAGCUCUUCGGCAAGAUGACCGUCGCUGGUAACUGCUGGUGCAACGGACCUUGCAAACAGCACAUCCUCCAGUUUGCCGGCAAAUAAAGGAUGAGUUGUGAAGGUCAUCUGGAUGGAUACAUCACCGCAAUAUCUACUGGUUUCUCUGGAUUAUUAAUCGAGCUUGAUGUAUUUUACUGAAUUCUUCAACGAAACACUAGUCCAUGGUUUAGUCGUGCUUUGCGGAGUUCGUAAAACCGCUGCGCUUGAAAUCUGCUUGCCUUAAGCGUUGUGAAUAUGCCGGAACUUUCCUCCUCGCUGAUUUCCGAAAAUGCUUACUCGGAUAACUUCUUCACGUGGUUGUAUUUUUCUAUGAGCCAAGAUUGCUGAUGAAAUGUACUGCGAAAAAAAAAGCAACAAGAAAAAGGAACUAA